AGUGAACGCUGGCGGUAGGCCUAACACAUGCAAGUCGAACGGCAGCACAGUAAGAGCUUGCUCUUACGGGUGGCGAGUGGCGGACGGGUGAGGAAUACAUCGGAAUCUACUUUUUCGUGGGGGAUAACGUAGGGAAACUUACGCUAAUACCGCAUACGACCUACGGGUGAAAGCAGGGGAUCUUCGGACCUUGCGCGAUUGAAUGAGCCGAUGUCGGAUUAGCUAGUUGGCGGGGUAAAGGCCCACCAAGGCGACGAUCCGUAGCUGGUCUGAGAGGAUGAUCAGCCACACUGGAACUGAGACACGGUCCAGACACCUACGGGAGGCAGCAGUGGGGAAUAUUGGACAGUGGGCGCAAGCCUGAUCCAGCCAUACCGCGUGGGUGAAGAAGGCCUUCGGGUUGUAAAGCCCUUUUGUUGGGAAAGAAAAGCAGCAGGUUAAUACCCCGCUGUUCGGACGGUACCCAAAGAAUAAGCACCGGCGAACUUCGU
rnacentral:rRNA from 1 species